AGAGCGAACGCUGGCGGCAGGCUUAACACAUGCAAGUCGAACGGAUCCUUCGGGAUUAGUGGCGGACGGGUGAGUAACACGUGGGAACGUGCCUUUAGGUUCGGAACAACACAGGGAAACUUGUGCUAAUACCGGAUGUGCCCUUCGGGGGAAAGAUUUAUCGCCUUUAGAGCGGCCCGCGUCUGAUUAGCUUGUUGGUGAGGUAAAGGCUCACCAAGGCUACGAUCAGUAGCU
rnacentral:rRNA from 1 species